UAAGUUUUCCUUAUUUAUAGGAAGUGAGAUUUGUUUUUGUUUUCUUGAGAGAGCAAGUACCGAGCACGUAAAUUUUAUCAUUUGAAACGAAAUUGUAGCUUCGAUAUGAAAAUAAAUAUAAGGAUAGAUAUUCAGUGAACUAAGUGUUUUUUUUUUUUUUUAAGGCUCUGUGGACUUAGUUCAUAUAUACACUUUUUUAAAAUGAUAUAAAAUUUAUUUUUCAUAUUUUUAAAUAAAUCCCAUAUGAUUAUGAAAAUA
rnacentral:misc_RNA from 1 species